rnacentral:rRNA from 1 species
UGGAAUAGUAAUCCUGAAGAAGUUUUAAAACGGAUCAAAGAGUCAACUAGAUGGUCUGAUGUGCUGAAUGAUUAUGAGCUACAACGUGGUCUAGAGGGUCAUAUGAAAUUUUUAAGGAUGCAUGUGAGUAAAUUGGACAUAACUUCCACAAGCAGCAGCAUGACUGAGUUUGAUAAGGUAGCUUUGGAGGAGGACAUCAACUCUCGUAUGAGUUCAGAAUUAGAGAAGCAUCUACAAUUCCCUGACCAGUUGCUCAUGCGAGAAUAUUUCAAUCGUGUGAAAAUAAGGAACCUUGCCAGGGAGUGUUGUAUUCAAGCAAAAAAGACUGGAGUCAUUCUUGUCGAAGAGUUUCUACCCGUACGAAAUUUGGAAGAACAGAUGUUACCCAAAAGUUGGCCCCAGAAUUUUGGACAACAGCUGUUACCCAGAAAUUUGCCCCAGAUGAAAAAGAGAGUUAAGCAGUCACUUGACUCAACCAGGGCUUACCUGCAUCGACAGGGCGCUACUCGUGCUAGCGGUUUGAAGUAUGUGGUUGGUGCAGUUUCUCUUGCUUGUAUCAUCAUGGCUGGCCAACGCGAGAGUAAGUAAGACUGUCAACUGCAUCCAUGGUUGGCCUUUGCCCCCCAAAAAAAAAGGUUGGCCUUUGGAUAGACAGUAAUUUGUGUAUAAAUAAUGUUGUACUCGUGUUUGAAGCAUGUUUGUCUUACUAUGCAUUACAGAUGAUAUUUAACAUGUGGUAUUUGUUCAUCUGUUGAGCCGUUUGCUUCAGGAUAAGUUCCAUUGACCUCUAUCUUGAUGGUGUCAGCGCGAAUGGGCGGAGCCCCGACCAUAGUUGAAAUAGGUGUCCGUCUCUAGCUCCUGAACCAGUCUCAUUGAUGCCCAACGUGAUGGAGCCGGACCGGAGACACCUGUAUUUUUAUUUUGUCAAAAAACUGAGUCUAUUAUCCAGAAGGCUAAGCUCAGGCCCUUCUCUAGCAUGGUUAGGAAAUAAACCUUUUUUUUUUGUUUUUUAGUAAACAGAUUUGGU